GGAAUUACAGCCUUUUAAUUUACAACUUGGGUUCUUGAAGAGAAGUCCUCUGACCAGCAGCCUGAUCACCUGGAAAUUUGUUAGAAAUGUAGGUUCCUGGGCCUCCCGAGACUGACUGCUCAGAAGUUCUGGAGGUUAAGCCUGAGUUUGGUCUUCUGUUACUUGGAACUGAAAUAAUGUGCAUUGACACACCUAACAAGUCAAAGUAUUGUCUUUUGCUGGUCUGCUCUGGUCCUGGAAACAUCCACUGAUAGAAUCACUGGUCUGGGACAAAUUGUGGUACCCAAAGACCUCAGGAAGCACUUAGAAGCAUUACUCCUGAAGUCCCAUUCGUCCCAAGAAGAGUUGCUGGCUGGAGGAGACAAUAUGUAAACAUGUCAUGACAAGAUGGUGUGGUGAGUGCUAUGUUGGCAUGUUGGAGGCAAGCAUAGCCAUGCUCACAGUGAGGAAUGACUUAGGAGCGCAACCACAGCCCCAUGCUACCUUCCACCAUUUGGAUAAAAGAAGGAAAAUGCCUUCAAAUUGCGAUCCAUCAAGUCUGAGAUAAUCUGUUAUGGCAACGUAAGAAGCUAAUACAAGAUGCAGGAGUGAAGCAGCGAGGUCUGGAAAAAAGCUAUUGCAAAAAUACAGUCUCAGCAAGGGGAUAGAAGGAGCCCUGCAUUCUCUCCUGACACGCUUGACAAAAACAAACCCAACUAGAGGUCGCCAGCAACGGAGGGGCAUCCUGUGUAAGGACUUGGAAGAGGAGUUGUAUUGUCACCCCCUGGCCACUAGAGGACUUCAUCCUAUUUCAGUGGAGGAAGGCCUGUUAGGGGCCUCUCUAUACUGGUGGAGGUUUGGUCGUCUUCCCUUCACUUGAUUUCUGCCAGUGGCCUUAUGUGAGGAUGCUUCAUGAGAUGUCAAGUAUCCGAGGAGUCUGUGACACAACCAUCCAGUGGUGAAUUGCUAAGGAGCUCCUCUCCAGCCUGCUUGACUCUGAGGUUAAAAGAGUCUUCAUGUUGAGCACAAGUCAUCUCUUUGCACUUUCACCAGUUGUGUCCAUCUGAAAAACACAGAGGUCUGUCUCACUUCUGCAUCACAGUCCCUUCCAAGAAGCUCCACAAUGGGUAAGGCACAAUAAAAUGGCUUAUAUUCAACAAACACAUAA
rnacentral:lncRNA from 1 species